ACGAUUUGAUUGGCUCUCUUUAAAUUGAUAUUUAUCUCUUAUAACUUGGAAGAGAAGAAACAAUCCUAUUGGUCAAUAAUUAAUUGAUAAUUAUCUCCAUGACUUAUUAUCUCCACCUCUGCUCCGCCAUCCACUUCAUCUUCUCCAACCAACAGCCCCAUCUCCCAAUUAAGCUUUAAGCUUUUUCCUUUCAUUAUUCUUCAAGCUUAAAACUUGGGCGAAGAUCCACAAAAAACUUGAUGUCACCCACCAAAAAAUCAGGCAGAUGAAUCAGACCCAAUGAAAAAUAUUGACGGGGAUGAGAUUAAUGACCUCUUUGAGAAGCAUGGGCGCGGGACAACGGCGUUGAUUUCGGUUAUGGCGCCGCUCUAUUCCCUUGCUACGAUGUCGGAUGUCACAUGUCCACUAAAUUGGUUGUUUCCACCGCUGCAAUUCGCCGCCGCCGCCACCCGUUGAUUGAUUGGGCAAAGAAUGACCCACCAGCCGGCGGUCAAACUUUGAGACCGGAGCACCGGCGAAAACCCCCAAUCUCUUUGCCUUGUGAUUGUGAAGGGGUGUAUUGAAUAGCAGAUUUUUUAGAUCGAACUAGCAGAUAUGGGGGACGGAUUGAAAUUGGUUCGGUGGUGGUGGUGGUGGUGCGGCGUCGGAUCAGAAGUUGUGGUGGCCGGUGGUUGUCUGAUUUGUGUGUGGUGGUCUGAUUUCAGUAUUCUUUUUUUCAUUUUCUUUUAUCUUUCCUUCUUUCUUUUAUUUUUCCUUUUUCAAUUAUUUAUAUUUAUUAAAAAAAAAAAUGAAGAGAAUGGGUUUAAAAGGAAAAUACUAAUUUACCCCAGCCAAAUUCACGUGUUAGGCACGUGAUUUGAAUUCCGGUCAACUUUGGCCAAAAAUGGACAAUUUGGACGUCGGUGCUAAAAAAAACGAAGUUCAGGUAUGCCCGUGCAACUUUUUUCCGUUCAGGGGGUAAAGUGCAAAAACGUCCAAAGUUUAGGGGAUUUUUUACAGUUAACCCUUAAUUAUAUAAUUGACACAUUAAAAUCUAAUGGAGUUGCCUUUCUAACUAUUUUUAACGUUGACCCGAAAUCUGAAGAGGCUAUUUUGAUUCAUUUUGAAGUUUAGAGAAGUAUUUUACACGUGGGGUAUAGUUCAUGUACGAGUUAUUUGUCAAAAUCCUCUCAUCAGAUAUGUGGAGUAAAGAUGUGCCCAAAAUAUUUUCCCACUAAAGAUAAGUUCAAAAUAUUUUUUAAUUACCAUAAAUAAUGCAAUGUCAUUAUAAUACUCUUAGUCCAAACCAUCAUAUCUUGUUAGACUUACUCCCACUUUGCUCCCUGAAAUAUACUCUUUUGCACUUUGCACCCAUCAAAACAAGUUAAUAGCACUUUACAUCUUCGAAAUAUAAUAAAUCGUGCAUAAUGCAGCCCAAAUAUAUUUUUAAAGCUAAUAAAGAUAAUUUAAUAUUAUUAGUGGUAUUUGUUUAGGAUGACAAAUGUCGAAUCAAUUUUUUUUUUCAUCAAUCAUUUUGAAACUAUAAAGUGCAAAAAAAAUUUGUUUGGGGGACAAAGUGCGAAACGACCAUUCAUUUAGGGGGCAAACUGCUUUUUACUAAAAUAAAAAAUAUAUAUCAUCAACAUAUUUGAAAAUUAUAUUUUUUAUCAUAAAAAAUAAAAUUGCUAAAAAAAAAAUCCUUCAGCUAUUUCGUUAUCAAGGUAUCUGAAAAUCAUAUUUUCUUCCAAAUUUUUUACCUAAUAUUUCCACCAACUAAAAGAUCCAUCAAUUGAAUAAUUUAGUGAUAAAAGUUUAUUUUAUUGUAUAUAUAUUUUUUAAUAAUCCGGCAUGAUUUUUACUUUUUCGCACUUUGUGCUCUCAAAAUUAGAUUGGAAGUUGAAUAAAAUAACAAUUUAAUUUUUUAUUUUACAUCCCGAAAAAAAAAACCAAUAGGAAAUGAAAUUACCUUUAUUAUUCAAUUCAUGGUGAAUUGUGAAUGAUUUAUUGUGUUUUGAGGGUACAAAGUGCUAUUAUUAUUGUACAAUGAUGCAAAGUGCCAAAAGGCUCUAUUUCAAGGGUGCAAAGUGGGAUUAAGCCAAUCUUGUUAUCCCGUUCCAUCAAUUCCAUCGUCUAUUUUAUCUCACUCUCAUUUUCUCCAAACAGUCACCCCAACUUUGUCGGGGUUGUCUAGGGCCCGAGACACUUAUACGCCUAGGACCUUAAUCAACCACUAAGAAUGUGCCACGAAGGAUUAGUGCGUAUCUAGUAGAAAAAAGUACGACCCCUAGGGUGCACGUAAAAUUACAUAAAAACCCUUUUCAUUAAACUUAAAAACAUAAUUCUAAAAUCAAUAAGUUAAAAGCUAAUUACAAAUUAAAAACAUUAAAAUCAUAUUGCGUAUAUUGAAAUGUUAAAUGUCGUUUCAAUUUUACUAAUGUCGUUUUGACUUCGUACCUCAUUUUGACAUAUUUCUAUUUUGAUUUUUGCGAAAUUCGAAUCACGAAAACUGUAGUCCUUUGGGUUAGCUUUCUAAUCCAACUUAAAUACGCUAGAUUGGAUGCCGUGUGACAAAGUUAUGCAUGAACGAGUCACAUUUUGAAUUUUAGAUACCUCAAUACAUCAAAGUUGUGGGCAGUAUCCAUUCAUUCAUGUAUAUCUUUCUCAUCCGACAUCCAAUUGUUGUGAUUCAAGUUGGAUUAGAGAACUAACUCAGAAUACUACAAAUUCUAUUUUUUAGGUUUCCAAAAUUUGGAAUUAAAAAUGAUCAAAAUCACGUUUGAAGUCGUAACGGUAUUAUUAAAGCUCGAACGACAUUUAUCACAUCCAUGCGUAUAUUCUUCCUAACUUUAAACCCUAAUCUAUUGUUUUUUUUUUCUAUUCAUCAUCGUCGGUAAUCUAAAACAAUUCUUUAUCAUCAUCAUCUUCAUCAUCAUCAUCAUCAUCAUCAUCAUCAUCGGUCUUUUACUAUUAUUCAUAAUCAUCGAAACACAGGGAAAUAGUCAAGGUACAAUCUCUCUUCUCUUCUCUUCUGUGUGAAAUAAAGAUUGGAGACUGAAACAAAAAUCUAAUCUAUUGUUGGUUCUUUUCCUAUUCAUCAUCUGUUACACGUCAUGUAGUUACAAAUCUCAAUAAUGGCUACCUAAGAGAUUAACUAUAUUCCUAUGUUAAUACCACAAAGGCUCUUCUACCACAGUUCUAAUUAUUAACCCGAUCUUCCGAUUCAUGCGAUUAACAAUAACAUAAAAGCGCAUAAAGUUGCCAGUUUCAUGAACUUAAUAAAACAAGUAGAAGAAAUAAUCCGGAAUUAAAACUUGCAUAAAAUCAUAGAAUUGAGUUCAUAAAUCCCACAUAGGGUUCCAAAUAAAAUCCUAGAAAUAAGAAAAUUAGCUACUCAUGAUUAAAGGAAAAACACAAAUAAAAUAAAUCAUAGACGAUAAAUCUAUGCUUCAAGUCUUCGGAUUCUUCGUCUUCGUUAUUGCUUUGUUGGUCUUGAAAUUGCGUAAAAAAAGAUCCCUAAUUGUGUGCUUGACUUGGUCUUAUAUAGGGUGAAGAACUUGGGGAAGAAGGCAGUUUCCUUGUGCAAUUAAAAUUCCUUUACUGCGCAACUUCGGAUUCUCGGACGGGGGUCUCACAAUUUGAACUAAAACUGGGACGGGGGUCUCAACUUUAAAUCUUCAGAAUUUUGAUAUUUUCACUUUUGACCCAUAUUUUAGCCAAAAUUGCAGUUUUGACCCCAUACUUUUCCAAUUCUUCAAUUUGUACCUAAUAUACAAUAAAUCAACUUUUUAAGCACCAAUUAUCGUUAAAACACACCAAAAGCUCAAAUAAAAAGAUGCGAUAAAGUGUAAAAAUAUACACUUAACACACCCCCAAACUUGAACUUUUGCUUGUCCUCAAGCAAAAUUUACCAAUAAGAAAAUAACUCAACGAUAACAUCUCAUCACAUAGAUCAAUGACCAAUUUUACGUUUUCAGAACUUGUAAUUAUAGUGACAAUUCUUAGGCAUUCGCAAGCUCAAAAUUCAACAACACUUAGUCACUCACCAUUACCAAAAACCACAAUUCAUACAAUUGCUUCAAGCAUCCAAUAUUUGCAAAUUAAAGAUAGAAAAAAUUUAUACUUACAUGCAUAUGCUUGACUCCAAAUACUCACCAAAUUAUUCUACUCUACUAAUAUCGAAUAUUAAGCUAUUGGGAUCAUUGGGGCUUUGUGGCUUUCAAUUGUUAGGCUCUUUGGUUCGAGGUAGGAAAUAUGGGUAUGUGUGGCUAUUCUUCUUGAAUUUAGGUGAUUACGCCAAAAUUUGAAAGAUAGGCGUUUGAAACAAUGAAUUCACCUCUACGGAUUUUAAUAAACUCGAUUCUCAAAAGUUCAAAAGUCUCCACUUUUGCUAUUGAGGCAAUGGAUCGAGUUUUCAAAAAUAAUUCAAAACCUAGCCCUUAUUUCUCCCUUCUAGUCUCUUUUUCUUCCUCUUCUUCUUCUUUUUCCCUUUUUUUUUUUUGUGUAUAUAUAUAGAAGCAAAGAUAUUUGUCUUCUUUUUUUUUUUUCGAAGAAGAAGGACCUUAUAAAAAUUUUCGACCGAACUCCAAGGGGUAAUUUUCAAGAAUCUCCACCUAUUCUACCUUACGCAUUGGCUAAAAGAAAGAACACCUUUUCUCCGAGGCUCAAAUCAAGGUUCUAAGGAUAAUUUUGAUAAAAAGGUCGGCAUUGGGGCUUUGUGGCUUUCAAUUGUUAGGCUCUUUGGUUCGAGGUAGGAAAUAUGGGUAUGUGUGGCUAUUCUUCUUGAAUUUAGGUGAUUACGCCAAAAUUUGAAAGAUAGGCGUUUGAAACAAUGAAUUCACCUCUACGGAUUUUAAUAAACUCGAUUCUCAAAAGUUCAAAAGUCUCCACUUUUGCUAUUGAGGCAAUGGAUCGAGUUUUCAAAAAUAAUUCAACACCUAGCCCUUAUUUCUCCCUUCUAGUCUCUUUUUCUUCCUCUUCUUCUUCUUUUUCCCUUUUUUUUUUUUUUUUUUGUGUAUAUAUAUAGAAGCAAAGAUAUUUGUCUUCUUUUUUUUUUUUUCGAAGAAGAAGGACCUUAUAAAAAUUUUCGACCGAACUCCAAGGGGUAAUUUUCAAGAAUCUCCACCUAUUCUACCUUACGCAUUGGCUAAAAGAAAGAACACCUUUUCUCCGAGGCUCAAAUCAAGGUUCUAAGGAUAAUUUUGAUAAAAAGGUCGGCAUUGGGGCUUUGUGGCUUUCAAUUGUUAGGCUCUUUGGUUCGAGGUAGGAAAUAUGGGUAUGUGUGGCUAUUCUUCUUGAAUUUAGGUGAUUACGCCAAAAUUUGAAAGAUAGGCGUUUGAAACAAUGAAUUCACCUCUACGGAUUUUAAUAAACUCGAUUCUCAAAAGUUCAAAAGUCUCCACUUUUGCUAUUGAGGCAAUGGAUCGAGUUUUCAAAAAUAAUUCAACACCUAGCCCUUAUUUCUCCCUUCUAGUCUCUUUUUCUUCCUCUUCUUCUUCUUUUUCCCUUUUUUUUUUUUGUGUAUAUAUAUAGAAGCAAAGAUAUUUGUCUUCUUUUUUUUUUUUUCGAAGAAGAAGACCUUAUAAAAAUUUUCGACCGAACUCCAAGGGGUAAUUUUCAAGAAUCUCCACCUAUUCUACCUUACGCAUUGGCUAAAAGAAAGAACACCUUUUCUCCGAGGCUCAAAUCAAGGUUCUAAGGAUAAUUUUGAUAAAAAGGUCGGCUUGAAAGGCUCAAACGGUUCAAAAAAGGCCCAAAUCAUAUCCCAAAUCACUCACUACUCAAUACUUCGUAUCAUAAAUUUCCUAAGGUGAGUCUUAAAACCGAACAUAGCAUGAUCUAGCAUAAAUUAAUUCCAAAUUUAAAAUACAAAACAUUCAACCAAAGCAAUGCACAAAAUGUGAUUCCUAGCAAUAAUUCGCUUCUAAGUCCCGUUGAAUCGAAAGCUAAACAAACAUCAAAUCCUUAUCACCUAAAAGAAGCAAUUUCUUCAUCAAACAUUGAUCAUCUCUCAUCAUCAUAACUCAUAGAUGCAUUCGACUCAAGCAAAAUUUUUUUUUUUAUAUUCCGGAAAAACGAGAAAAAGAAUAAAAACGAAUAAAACCAAAUGCAUGCAAAAUAAAACAAAUAAGCACAAAAAUAACAUGUUUUUCACCCCCAAACUUAAAAUUUUCGUUGCCCUCAACGAAAUUAGCACAAAGUUUAAGGAUAGAAAACACCUGAUUUAUUCGGAGUCGAUGUGAUCGGGGUGCUCCUCUCUCGCUCUCUCACGCUCGUCCUCAUCGGAAAGCUCGGAUACGGGCUCAAGAAUGGGUGCCGGUAAAAAUUAGACGAGAAUCGACCCCCAAACUUGGUUGGAGCAAUUUGUCGAACACCUUGUGGGCGUGCCUUGAAUGAGUAGAUUUUGUAGAGGUUGGUUUGAUUCUCUAGCCUCCCUGUCAAUACCAACACAAAAUAAGAAUCGGAGAGUGUGUGAGUGAAUUAUGUGUGUGGAGUUAGGGAGAAGGAAAGAGGAGGGUUUAAGAAAUAAUGGGGGAGAAAAUCUAAUUUUCGAAAAUUUAAAACACCCCCUGUUGAGUUCGGACAGCCGUCCCAUCUUUUAGCCUUUUUCUCGGACGGCCGUCCGAGAUGUGCUGGUCCGUUUCUGUUUUAGGGACGGCCGUCCGGGUUUUAUGCCUUGUUUUCGGACGGCCGUCCGAGGAUUGCUGCCCCGGUACUGUUUUUGGGACGGCCGUCCCGGUUUUGUGCCUUGUUUUCGGACGGCCGUCUCAAAUCCAGUGCUGCCAAUUUUUUUUUUUUUUGGCUGCCGACUCGACCCUCGAUCACGUUUUCGACCCUGAAAAAAUUCAAAUAAUAAAUUAGAAUGCAUGCUUAUGAUAUUAAAAAAAAAGAAACGAAAAAUUAAAUAAAAAUACGAAAAACAAUAAAGCUCGGGUUGCCUCCCGAGAAGCGCUAAGUUUAAAGUCUUCAGCCGGACUUUGCUUCUUGAAAUUUUUAUGUCCAAUCCAAAGCCUUGUAGAUUGCGCACACAUCCAUGAGCUUUGUCACUUCAAUUGCAACCGAUACAGGGAUUGGAUUGCAAUAUGUCAGGGUCCACUUUAGCUUGUAAUCUUUCUUGGUUGUAAUCAAUCGGUACGAAGCCAAGAUGGGAUUUUCAUCACCCGCUCCCUCAAAUCGGUACACAAAAACCUCACGUCCGCGUAUAACCUCCACUUCAAAUACAUUCGUCUUCUCAUCAACCUCUAUUGAUGCCUUCAAAGCCACAUCAGGAAUAACAAUAAGAUCAUCAAUUUGAAUAUUUGCACUAACCACAUCCAUCCCCUUCUUCUCUUGUUCCGAGACAUCUUUGGAGUUGAGCUCGAUUGCAUUCUCAUAUUCAUCAUCCUUAAGCGUCUUCGUAAGUUCCUUUUCCUUCUCAUCGACAAUAUUUUCUAGGUCUAAAGGAUUUUUCUCACUACAAGUUGUAGACGGAUUUUCUUUGUUGCAACCAUUCUCGAUAUUGUCUGAAAUAUUUUCAAGAGACCUUUGGCGCUUGAAUUCUUCCAACUGUAACUCCAGUCUCCGGAUAGAUGCUUGAGUGGAUUUCAUAAAUUCUUCAAGGACGGAAUUCAAAUAACACUCCUGAACAGUGGGCUCUCGUGGCGUGUUGGUGUAUGUGUUCCAAUAACCGCCGUUGGUGUUAUCUAUGAAAUUAUUCGCUUUCGGUGCAUACCAACAUUGGUUAGUGUAAUGAUCUCCACCACAUCUUGAACAAAGUAACGGCAUAUUAUAGUAGGUAUUUUGGAGGUAUUCGCCAGACGGAAGCCAUUCAUUUCCCGUUUGAGGUGCACGGAAAUUGUAACCUGACAUGUAACCAAAGAAAAAAAAAAUAUAUUAAAAAAUUAAUUUGGGUGAAUCGUGAAAUUUUUUCAAAUUUAGAGCUAGAAUAAAAUAAAUAAUUAAAAUACUCCCCGGCAACGGCGCCAAAAACUUGUUGGCCGAAAACCUACACGCAAGUGCACGUAUCGUACAAGUAAUAUAGUGGACAAUUAAGUCCGGAUAUCGAAACCACAGGGAAUAUUUAAUUAUCUAAUCCUAGACGCUAAAUUCUACCAAUUGUUAUCAAGCCCACCCUACACAGUCGAAAGAUGAUUAAUAAACUAAAUUAAACUAAAGCAAAUAAAAAAAAAAGACAAGAAAGAAAACAAGAAAGCAGUUAAAACGAAGAUUUAAUCAAUGAAAACAAGCAUAGGAUUUUAUUCUUCCCCCUAUGUGAUUAUUACUCCCCCAAUUCCUUCAAUUAUGCAAGCAAUUAACCCGGAUUAUUAACCUGAGAUGCUAAAAUAAUCGUAACCCGCUUCCGCGUGUAUUACGAUUCUAAUACUCUAGAUUCAAUUACUAUAUUCCUAUGCAAUUAAUUCUAGAACACAACAUUAAGCACAAAUCUCAAUAAUGGCUACCUAAGAGAUUAACUAUAUUCCUAUGUUAAUACCACAAAGGCUCUUCUACCACAGUUCUAAUUAUUAACCCGAUCUUCCGAUUCAUGCGAUUAACAAUAACAUAAAAGCGCAUAAAGUUGCCAGUUUCAUGAACUUAAUAAAACAAGUAGAAGAAAUAAUCCGGAAUUAAAACUUGCAUAAAAUCAUAGAAUUGAGUUCAUAAAUCCCACAUAGGGUUCCAAAUAAAAUCCUAGAAAUAAGAAAAUUAGCUACUCAUGAUUAAAGGAAAAACACAAAUAAAAUAAAUCAUAGACGAUAAAUCUAUGCUUGAAGUCUUCGGAUUCUUCGUCUUCGUUAUUGCUUUGUUGGUCUUGAAAUUGCGUAAAAAAAGAUCCCUAAUUGUGUGCUUGACUUGGUCUUAUAUAGGGUGAAGAACUUGGGGAAGAAGGCAGUUUCCUUGUGCAAUUAAAAUUCCUUUACUGCGCAACUUCGGAUUCUCGGACGGGGGUCUCACAAUUUGAACUAAAACUGGGACGGGGGUCUCAACUUUAAAUCUUCAGAAUUUUGAUAUUUUCACUUUUGACCCAUAUUUUAGCCAAAAUUGCAGUUUUGACCCCAUACUUUUCCAAUUCUUCAAUUUGUACCUAAUAUACAAUAAAUCAACUUUUUAAGCACCAAUUUUCGUUAAAACACACCAAAAGCUCAAAUAAAAAGAUACGAUAAAAUGUAAAAAUAUACACUUAACAGAGAUCCCAACGAAUUGUAAUUGAUAGUUGCCAUGAGUUUCUUGUAUGAUGUUCUAGAACAUCACUAAAAGAAUAUAUAUAUAUAUAUAUAUAUAUAUAUAUAUAUAUAUAUAUAUAUAUAUAUAUAUAUAUAUAUUAUAUAUAUAUAUAUAUAUAUAUAUAUAUAUAUAUAUAUAUAUAUUUGCAUUUAAAAGAAUCUAAGCCUGUUCUUGCUUAUGUCCUAAAAAAAAUUUAUUCUUGCUUAUGAUACAACAUGAUUUUGUUAGUUAUAUGCUGGUUCUGUUAUAUGUCUAAAAAUUUGCAAGCUUGUGAUUGUCAAAAUAAAUUAUUUAAUUUAACUCCAAAUUGUUCCAUCGAGGUUUAUAAUUUUCUUUUACUUUCUAUUGCUUACAUUUCUCAUUCCAUGAGAACGGUAGAAUAUAUGUAGACCUAAAAUCAUAUAUCAGUUCUGCAAUAUGAAUUCGUUAACUCAAUUAAUUUGGAGUAACUAGUAAUAAACAGCUCGUGAAAUUGAGUAAUUGUAACUUUUUAAGUUUCUUUGAAAUCUUAUUUUGUAGGUACGAUGGAUUUUGAUGCUGAAAAUGAGAAAUCAAUUUCACCUUCUAAUAAUGACGAAAGUAAUUGCACGCAUGAUAUGCAUUAUCACGGUGUUAGUGAUAUAGGUGAUUCAAUUGAUUUCAAUUUUGAGAAUAUCAAAGAUGAUGCGGUCAGACAAUUAGUAUUCCAAAAUGUUGACAAUUCAGAGAAAUUGUACACAUCGUAUGCCAGUGGCCCUGUGUAGUUGGUUUUGGCAUUAAUAAACAAGGUGUAUACCGCAAAACUGCUGAUGACAUCGUAAAGUACUGGAAAUGGGUGUGCACAUGUGAGGGAUCCUACAGACAACCAAAAGAUGACUAUACUAGGAAGGGAGAGGCAAAAUUUGUGACCAGACGUGGUUGUAUAGCAUGCUUUCUUCUUGCACGUGACCGUUUUUUAGGGCAUUAUUCGUUGACAAAGUUUGAACCUCAAUAUAAUCACAAUUUACAAGGUUUCAAGAAGAGGUACAGAAUCUACUAGUUUAUUUUAGUCGCAACUUUUAUUGUUAUUUGCAUAAUUUUUUUUUAAAUUCAUCAUUUGAUUCCCUUCAUAGGUACAUUUCAAUGCCCGACAAGUGCAUGCUGAAUUUAAUGACAAAUGUCGUGUUUAGGCCGUGCCAAGUUAUGGAUUUGUUGGAGAAACUUGACGGAGGUGUUGGAAAAUGUCUUUCACGAGAAAAGAUGGUCACAAUUGGUUGAACAAUAUGCCAUUAAAAAUUAUCGAAGCUGAUGAUGUAAACAUGCCAUUAGCUUUAUUUGAAAACAUGAAAAUAAAACAGCGAGUUUUUUUACAAAUACACAGUGAAUGACCAAGAGGCACUUUCAAAACUUUUUUGGUGCGAUGGAGCUUCCAGGGUUGAGUAUGAAUUAUUUGGCAAUGUCUUAAUAUUCCAUAGUACGUAUAAGACAAACAAGUAUUUUUAUUAUCUAGUUAUUAUUUCUGGUACCGACAACCAUGGUUUGCCGUUUAAUUUUUGUGCAUCUUUUAUGUACAACGAGAUAAUUGAAUCAUAUCGAUGGUUAUUGCAAGCAUUUCUUGAGGCAAUGAAUGGCAAAGUUCCGGAUUCUGUGUUAACAGAUGAGGAAUCAUCUAUGGUAGCAACAAUUUCAUCAGAAUUUUCUAGAGGGAAGCAUAGGCUUUGCAGUUGGCAUCUUGGGGGAAAUGUUCGGCAUAAUAUAAAAGUGCCAGACUUUUGUUCUUACUUUAUGAGAUUAUUUAAGGAAUCGUGCUCCAUUGACGAGUUUGAGAUAAGUUGGCUUAACAUGGUUGAGAUAUAUGAGGUAAUAGAAAAGCAAUGUGUUAUUGACAUUUACAGGAAAAAAAAAAAGAUGUGGGCAACAUAUAUUCGUGGAAAUUUUAAGGCCAUAGCAUGUACAACACAGAGGGUUGAAUCUAUGAACUCAUUGUUCAAGCUUGCGACUUAAAACAUGAGCUUUGCCUAGUUUGUAAAUCAAUUUCAGCACAAAAUACAAGGGUUAAGUAGUUCUUACUUUUUUUAGUCAGCAAGACCUUUAGAGAAAUUCACGCCUGCUAUCAAAGAGAGUCCUCUUCAAGGGCUUAAGAAACAUACUGCUAGUAUAUGCACAAAACAAAUUUUCUUUAUGAUAUGUGGGAAGAUUAUAGCAGCGCAAGGUCUUUUGAUGGAAAGUCAUAGUAAGAUAACUGAAGAACAGUGUACAUUUGUAUUUGAAAAUAACAACAAACUUGAUGAUGCACGGUAUUAUGUAACUAUUGGCAAGUUUAACGGUAAAUUUGUGUGCAGUUACCUAAAGCUUAUGCGGAUUACAGAGUUUCCAGAAGAAAAAAAAAAGUAUACAUCCCCAUUGGCUUGUUGAUGCAAGUAGAAUACUGAAAAGUAAGUUUCGUGAAGCUACCUCAGUAGUUGGACAACAACAAAUACGUUUUGCGUAGUUAAAUAAUGAGUUUCUUAACUUGUCUUACUUAUCAUCUCACAGAGUCCAAAUUUGUUGAAUGCCUCUGCUUCACGCAAGUAAGAAAAUUUUCAAAUGAGGCAGCUGACGAAUUCUCAAAGCACAACAUCAGUACUGGAACAUAUAUUUUUAAAUUGUUGACGAUCCCCCAGUAUGUGCGAAAUCGAGCAAUGUCAAUGGUCCUAAACUAAUAAAGACGAGAGGAGCAACUUGGGCAAAGAAAAAAAAUGUGGUUUUUGCGAGUAAGUGUGUACUUUGAGUUUGUUUCAAGCAAACUCGUGUCUUCUAAUAUUUGUUGUUUGUCUACUUAUUGUUUUAUGCUAUUUUUUUUUUCAAAUGGAGCAUGGGCAUAAAGCUAACACAUGUAUUGUUAAUCCCGACACUGCCUCUCGACGUACAAAUACAUUGUUAUUAUUAUGGCGGCGCCGGUGGCAUUGGUUCUUCAUCUCAAAAUCGAGAGAGAAGAAUCUAUGGAUUUUGGUGGGAAAAGAUAAUAGAGAAAGUAGAUAAGAAAAAUAGAGAAGGAAGAAGACGUGAAAAGUAGAGAGAAAUAGUAGCGUGAAGUAGUAACAUUUAAUUGCGGAAUUCCAUUAUAGUAGCGAGCUUGAGAAAUAUUAAUGGAGUUUGUAAUAACCAAACAUCUUAGUAACAUUUUUGUAUUUUUUUUAACAAACACACGACAAAGUUUUACAAUGAAAAUAUAUAUAUAUAUAUAUAUAUAUAUAUAUAUAAAACAAUAUAUAUAUAUAUAUAUAUAUAUAUAUAUAUAUAUAUAUAUAUAUAUAUAUAUAUAUAUAUAUUUUACUCUUCUAAUAUGAUUGACAUCUGAGUUUGAUAAUGUCUUCCAUCAAUGGAGUUUGUAGUAGCUGGAAAUGGAUUUGGAGGCAUUGUGAGAUCGUUAAGUUCUCCUUCCAGCAUUUGAACCACAUCUUUCAUUGACGGACGAUUUGUCGGACACCAUUGUAUACACCACAACCCUACUAUACUAAGUUUCCUUGCUAUAUUAUUUCCAUCUUCAUCAAUUUGUGACCACAAAUUAUUAUCCCGUGCAUUUAUAUGAUUGUAAAUCCACUGCAGAAAAUAUACCUGACUAGUAUUAUUUACAUUACGAUCCUCGUUUUUCCUCCCUCCCACCAUUUCAAGCAACAACAUUCCGAAACUAUAAACAUCGGACUUAUACGAAACCCUCCCGAAAGUCCUGGAUAGUACUUCAGGUGCAAUAUAUCCCAUUGUUCCUCUAGCCGCAGUCAUUGUUACUGCACUUUGUUCCUUUGAGCACAAUUUUGCAAGACCAAAAUCACAUAUUUUCGGGUUGAAGUUUUGGUCUAACAAUACAUUUUGCGGCUUUAUGUCGAAAUGGAGUAUUUGUUGAUCACAUCCUUCGUGUAGAUAUUUUAUGCCUUUGGCUAUGCCUAGUGCAAUAUCCUUUAGCUUCUCCCAAUCAAGAGUAAUUCUAUUUGAACCCGCUUGGAAAAUGGACUUUUCUAAAGAACCGUUUGGUAAGAAUUCAUAAACAAGAGCUCUUCGAAAUCCAUCAGCACAAAAUCCUAGAAGACGGACAAUGUUGACGUGGUGUAUUCUCCCAAUCGUACUUACUUCAUUCACAAACUCCUCUCCGUUUCCGUUGGAGUUGUUGAGUACUUUUACCGCAACAACUAUUUCAUUGUUCAACUUUCCUUUGUAAACAAUUCCGUAACCCCCUUCACCCAAUUUAUCGUUAAAUUGAUGAGUAAUCCUUUUUAUGUCCGAAUAUGAAAAUCUACUCGGCUUAAGGGCUUUGUAAUCUCGCAAAAACUUCCCAAUCAUCGUUCGAUUCUCUUGGUAUGUUCUAACUCUGAUGUAAAGAUAGACGAAAGCUGCUAGUAUUAUCGCGACAAGAAUGGAACCAAAACCUUUGAAACAGAACAUAUAAGUCAGAUUCUUAAACCAAUCCAUUACAAAAAUAUCAAAAAAGGAACAGACAAAAAUAUUCACCUUCAGUUAGUUGCUUCCUUCUUGUUCCUAUAAGAAAAUAAUUACUUAAGCUUUUUUUUCAUGGAAAAUACGAAAAUAUAAUAUCCAAAUAGACACGAAAGUACCAUGAUGAUUUGUAGUUGGGAGUUGGUCAAGACACUGAAUACGACGAUCUGAUGUCGUAGAAUUAUACGAGCUGCAUCUUUUGCCUUUAUCUUCACAUACGGAACAGGCUGGUUCAGACCACUCCAAAUAGAAGUCAUUUUCUUGAAAUAUUUUCCAUGGAACAGAUUUGAAUUCAUAUGUUUUGGUACAAGAAGUCAAAGGAAGUGAUUCCAUCGAAAGUUUCGAAUCAACGGCAUAGAAUUGGCACGUGGAAUCGCCAAGGCAAGGAACUACGAUGCUUAAAUCUCUUCUCGACGGAUCAGAACAAUUGAAGAGGGUAUAGUUAUCUAAGAACUUUAUCAAGAAACGGAAAGGGGAAGCGGAUAAGUUUAGAAGUGGUAAUUUUUGCGGAAAACAUUUUUCUUGGUCAUAAACAAGAACUCUUUGAGAUACAUAGUUGAUUUUCUUUACUAUAACAUUAACCGAGAACGGGAGCACGAGUAGGGUAUUGUUUUUAUGGUCGCAGAAUAAAUCGAAGCCCGGAUAGCCACAACGUUGAGGCUGCCGAUUUGUAUGUCUGAAAGGAAACCGAAUUAUCGGGCCGUUGUUUCUGCAUCUGAUUGGCAUACAAUCAUCGUCGUUUCCUAGUACUAGUACAACAAGUGGUAAGAACAAAAGAAAGCAAACGAAGGGAGACAUCUGAAUUAUGAAGACUUGUGCAUUUGCUAUUACCGUUUAUGUGCAAAUUAACUAACAAGGUUGAACAAGUCUAGCAUUCUUUUCUAGUAAACUGUGGGAGAGCAGAGCAGAUUAUAUGGUAGGACUUAAUUCAUAGUAUUAAACUGUUUUCUUUUCUAAUAAUUUUACUAAUCAGGUCACAUUCUUGACUAGUUCCUUAACAACUCUCCUCAUCAUAAAUUCGUUUAUUUUGCCACUUCAAUGCUAGCAUAAAUCUAAAAGGAAAUUACUUGAAUACUUUGUGAUGAUGCUAAAAUUAGAUCACAUGCAGUAGUUGCUUUAGACGGAUAAAAUUAAUUAAUUGGUUAGGGGUCAUUUGAUAUACACCCCUACUAUUGAAAAUAAAUAGGGAUAAGUCCACCCCUAAAUUCUUCUUUUGAGAUACCCCUACAUAGGCAAAAGUACUAUUGUGCCCUUAUGUGCAAUUUUUGUCCAACUGCAUUCAGCAUUAUGGCCAACUGUAUUUAGCAUUUUUGGACCUGCAUUUAUCAUUUUUAUAGAUUUUUUUCAUAAAAAAUAUAAAUGUUUAUUUUAUUAUUAUUUUUUAUAUAUACUGGAUUUUUAUUUUUUAUUUUAUUUUAUUUUAUUAUUUUUUUUUACUUUUUUUUUUUUUUUUAAUUUGUUUUGUUUUUUUUUUUAAUUUUUUCAAUUUUUUGAUAAAUUUACUAUACUGAAAUUGACUACGCAUGACUAUAGUAUACCACAAUCAUGUAUAAUUAUAAUUUGUAUCUUGAUAUUAUAAAUCAACUAACCAACAAAAAAUGAAAAAACACAAUCACAUGCAUAUAUUCUUCAAACAUGAACAAGCAUUACGGCAUUAAAAAACACAAAGCAUAUAUAUAACUAUAUGCUACUACAUGUGACUAUAGUUAUCUACAAUUAUCUAUAGUUAUAUAUAUUGACAUAAAGUCUAGAGUAUUGUAACAUGAAUCCAACUUCACAAGGCACUUUUCAGCAUCUCGAUCAUAAAGUUAUACAAAUAGCAAAAUCUGUGACAAAAAAAAUACGAGUUAAAGAAAAUGAAGAGCAAAAUGGAACAGGCGAAUUACAUUACAUGAUAAAUACAAAAAAACAAUGAAAAAUAAUUUAUUGAUAAAUUUACUGUCCUGUAAACGGCUACAAAUGACUAUAGUAUACUACAAGUUAUAUAGUCAUGUAUAGUUAUAUGUAAUGUAUAGUUAUGUAGUCAUGACUAUAGUUAUCGAUAGUUAUCUAUAGUCAUCUAUAGUUACAUAUAGUUAUAUAUACGACUAAAUGUGAAUCAAAUCCCACUUCUCUACACAACAACGACUCUGAUCUAUCAGUUGCAAAAGGAGUUGUUUUGAAUGAUGAACACCAUUUAAAAAUCGGUUUCAUGAAAACAUAAUGGAAAACGAAAUAUACAGUGUAAACCCUAUAAUUAUUAGAACAAAGCACACAACUUUUAAUCUCGAUUAGAUGUUUCAUCGAAAUAAUUGUUUUAUUGCGAUAGAAGAAACAACAACUUGACCCUCAUAAGAAGCCAACACAAAACCGAAAGCGCAAAAAAAAAAGAAAUUAACAGAUUCACUAAUCGACACAAAAAUCAAACUAUAUACACGCAUAUAUAUAUGGAUAUGGAUGCAUCGAUUUGUUUAUUCAAAAGUUGUAGAAAAUAAAAUAUUUCACCGGCCAAAAAUUAAUAAAUAAAUAAAAUCUAGUCCUCUGUCAUUUUCUGUAAUAAUAAUAAAAAAACUCCCCAUCAAACCAAGUGGAAAGUCACCUCCUCUGUAAUUUGGCCAUCAAACUCACGUACCAACAAUUAUCAAAAUUUCAGCAAUAAUGACUUACAAUUUUAGCUAACACGUUUCAUCUUUGACGGCAAGGUUUACGAGAGUGGCGAGUGCAGCUUCGUUGGCGGAGGCGGAGUCGCAUCAGAACAUAUCCACGGCGCCGAAAGAGAGGUGAAAGAGAAACUAGGUGCCAAUUCUUCUCUCGAAACAUCUUCCCUUCUUACAGGGCCGGUCCGGCGUAUUUUGGGGCCCUGGGCAAAACACAAAAUUGUGCCCCGAAAUAAUACGGGGUUUGGUACCUAAAAAAAGAAAAAUUUAAUACGGGGAACAUCCUCGAUUUAUUUGAAAAUAUAUAUAUGUAAAAUAUAAACAUAUUUAAUAAUAAAAUUAUAAAAUUGGAACGAUACAUAAAAGAUUAGCAUGGCGCAUGCACAAGGAUAACACCCAUAAAUCGAAAUAUGGUCCAAAUUUUUAUGGUAAUCAAGGUUUUUAACGAGGCAUCAUCAUGAAUUUUUCUUUUAGCCAAAAAAAUUUAAUAAAAUUAUAUUAAAAAAAAUAUAUGUACUUUAACAAAAACUAGUUUAAAGUUAGGAAAUAAAAAACCAAUAAUAAAAAAAAAUUAAGUAUAACUUAUAGAAAAAUAGAAACAUAAAAUGAUACAGGGGUUCAGCCGAGAGAAAAAUAAAAUUGGAGUAAAAAGACAUAUAUGGAGAAAGUGGGGGUAGUAAUUAAAAACUAAAAGAAUUGGGUAAAAGCAUUAGUGGGGACUGAGGAGGGAGGGAGUUGGAAAGUCAAAAUAAAAAUAAAAAUGAGGACCUUUCACGUUAGUAGAAAAAAGGGAGGGCUGAAAAUAGGAAGAAAAAAGAAAUUAAACAUAUUAUAUUAAUGGCGUACUAACAUAUAACCAAAAAUUUGGGGCCCUGGGUCUGGGCCUCGCUCGCCCUGGUCCAGGGCCGGCCCUGCCUUCUUGUGGUCUCAGAUCUUGUGACCCCGGCGGCAGAGACUCAACAACGGCUCCUACCUAUCAUCUCCAAAUUCCGACGAUUUUAUUGCGGCGAGGGCAUCGGUGACAGUGGCGGAGGAAGAGAGGAAACGGAGCGGCGGUUUGCCUAGAUAGAGAUCAGCCAUUAAUAAUCGCGGCGGAAUGGAAAAUAUCACGACGACGACAGAAGAGAGAACAUAGAGGGCUAGGGUUUGGUGAGUGGAGAGAGAACGAUGAAUGAAUAUGAAUCGAGUACCAACGUGGUGUUCUAAAAACUGAUUCUAUAAGGGCAAAAUAGGUACUUCAAGUUGCUCGGGGGGUCUACCAAAUUAAAAACCAAAAUUUGGGUUUUGACUAUGACAAAAAAAUCAAUAAGACCUCCUCAUAUAUAUUUUCAGAAAUAGGCGGUAUCCCUCAUUUACCCUAAUUAAUUAAUUAAAUUAGCCAAUUAAAUUAUGUCUAAAUUAAAUUAUAUCUUGUCUUGCAGAACAAAUCAUGGAGAUAAAUAUCAAUUAAUUAUUGGCCAAUAUGGUUGUUUAUUCUCUUUCAAGUUUUAAGAUAUAAAUAUCAAAUUAAAAGGGCCAAUCAAAUCGCGCCACAUCAUCAAGAAGGUUUAUCUAGGACUCUUAUUCUACCACUAUAAAUAGGGACCCUCCCCACACAAUUCAAGACACAACUCAAGAGGAAGAAAACCGUAGGAGAAAUUCUCUCUACAAUAUUCAAGUCGUUCUUCAUCAAAUUCAAGGCACAUUAAAGUGUUUAAUUCGAGAUUACGGUGCUAAACCCUCGAAUUAACAUUAUUAACAUCAAAUCAAGAUCGAAGGGAGAUUGAAGGGCCAAAUCCAUCAAGAAAUCCAAGAUCUUCAAGUCAAAGUUCAUUGAAGUUUAGUGUUCGAUCCGAGACUCAAGUCGCAUGAUCCUCGAAAAACGUUAUUCAAAUUCAAAAUCAAAUCCGGAGAAGAUCAAGUCAAUGACCCGACUCUGAAUUUUCAAAGUCAACUAUAUAUUGUUUAUGAGAGAAGAAUCAGAGGAUUAAAUUAGAGUUAGUAACCCACAAUAUUUAUUUUUAAUUCAAUAAAUAAUCUUUGUGCAAGUUUUUCUUGUUUGUUUAAAACGCAGAACAGAAUUUGUUGCUACAAAUUUUGGCACACCCAGUGGGGACAAUAUCUACCUCUCAUCUCUUCUCUUAUUGAAGCUCUCGAACUAGCGUUCCUCGUGACAAGUUCCACUACUAUGGAAGAGCAAAUUGCAACUUUAAUAUAGGCCAUUGAGGGACUCGCAAAGCAUGUUCAACAUCGAGAUUCUCAAAUUGCCAAGUUGAUCAACAAGAUGCACAAAUCCGAUGCUAGUCAAGCUGUGGAAAGUCAGAUAGAAGCUCAAGACGAAGUCGAGACAUCCACAAAGCAACAACCAGUUGAAAAUGAGAAGGCUCCAGCUCGAGAACUUCAAGUUUUUACCUAAGGGCUGAUUCAUGUAGAUCAAGUGAUGACGCUGAUCACUGGAACUAUCAAAGACAAGUUGGAAGGAAACUCAAAGUCGCCAUCACCCUAUGUCAAGCCAUACACACAAAGGAUUGAUGAUCUAAAGAUUCCAAUGGGCUAUAUACCUCCAAAGUUUCAACAAUUUGACGGCAAAGGCAAGCAACAUGUGGCACACUUCGUUGAGACUUGCAAUGAUGUCGGGACGUACGGAGAUCACCUCUUCAAACAUUUCGUCCGAUCGCUCAAAGACAAUGCAUUUGAUUGGUACAUCGAUUUUGGGGCAAACUCCAUUGAUGGUUGGAAGCACUUAGAGGAAGAAUUUCUCAACCGCUUUUAUAGCACUCGUAGAACAGUCAGCAUGAUUGAGCUCACCAAUUCCCGUCAGUGGAAGAAGGAACCUGUCAUCGACUACAUCAACCGUUGGAGAAAUUUGAGUUUUAAUUGGAAAGAUCGACUGCCUAAGACAUCAGCUAUUGAACUGUGCAUCCAAGGAAUGCAAUGGGGACUCCGAUACAUCCUUCAAAGAAUUCAACCUGAAAGUUUUGAGGAGUUGGCCACUCGAGCACAUGAUAUCGAAUUGAGCAUAACUGCAAAUGGAGUCGAAGAACCUUCAUUCAAAAAGUCGUACCAGCUCAAAGAAGAACAUGUUGAUGAAGAACAAGAAGAUCAUGAGGAUGGGGGCAAGUCUUUGGAAGAAGCAAUACCCUACGCAAUAUGACAAGUCAAAUCAGAUCAGUAUUUCUUGGCACGAGUUUAAAAGGUCUACAUAUUCAAAUUCAAAUCAGUACUCCUUGGCAUGAGUUUAAAAGGUCUACAAAUUCAAGUUCAAAUCAGUACUCAUUGACACAAGUUUAAACGGUCUACAAGUCCAAAUCAAAUGAAGUACACCUUGACACGAUUUUAAAAGGUCUACAUGUCCAAAUGAAGUACUUCUCGACACGAGUUUAAAAGGUCUACAUGUCCAUAUCAAAUGAAGUACUCAUUGACAUGAGUUUAAAACGUCUACAUGUCCAAAUAAAGUACUCCUCGACACGAGUUUAAAAGGUCUACAUGUCCAAAUGAAGUACUCCUUGACACGAGUUUAAAAUGUCUACAUGUCCAUAUCAAAUGAAAUACUCCUUGACACGAGUUUAAAAUGUCUAAAAGUCCAAAUCAAGUGAAGCACUCCUUGACACGAGUUUAAAAGGUCUACAUGUCCAAAUCAAAUGAAUCACUCAUUGACACGAGUUUAAAAGGCCUACAUGUCCAAAUCAAAUGAUGUACUCCUUGACACGAGUUUAAAAGCUCUACAUAUCCAAAUCAAAUCAAGGCUCCUUGAUACGAGCAUAAACUAUUUAUAUAUCCAAAUAGAAUCAAGGCUCCUUGAUACGAGCAUAAACUAUCUACAUAUCCAAGUCGAAUCAAGGCUCCUUGAUACGAGCAUAAACUAUCUAUAUAUCCAAGUCAAAUCAAGGCUCCUUGAUACGAGCAUAAACUAUCUAUGUACACAAGUCAAGUCAAGGCUCCUCGAUACAAGCAUAAACUAUCUAUAUGUCCAAGUCCAAAUUAAGGCUCCUUUAUACAAGCGUAAACUAUCUACAAAUUCAAGCCAAAUGCUCAUUCAGUACAAGUUUAAACAACAUAUGUUUUUCCAUGCCCACAUGAGUAUAGAACGUGCAUGACAUCCCUCCAAAGGAUAUAUUUUGAACUACGUUAUGACUUGAUCCCUUUACAGGGUACGUAGGCAACUUAGAAUUUCUCUAUGUUCAGUCAUGAUUUCAAAAGAUGUAUGUUCUUUGCUAGAUCAAAGCUGCAAUUGAAGUUGGGCAAUUACCGAGACUCAUUCACUCCAAGACGCAUUGUCCGUGAACAAGUCUCGAGGGGGCAUUUGUAGACGCAUAAAAUUAAUUAAUUGGUUAAUUAAAUUAGCCAAUUAAAUUGUGUCUAAAUUAAAUUAUAUCUUGUCUUUCAAGGCAAGUCAUGGAGAUAAAUAUCAAUUAAUUAUUAGCCAAUAGGAUUGUUUCUUCUCUUUCAAGUUUUAAGGGAUAAAUAUCAAAUUAAAAACGGCCAAUCAAAUUGCGCCACAUCAUCAAGAAGGUUUAUCUAGGACUUUUAUUCUACCACUAUAAAUAGGGACUCUCCCUACACAAUUCAAGACCCAACUCAAGAAGAAGAAAAACCGUAGGAGAAUGCUCUCAACAAUAUUCAAGUCGUUCUUCAUUAAAUUCAAGGCACGUUAAAGUGUUUAAUUCGAGAUUACGGUACUAAACCCUCGAUAAUGUUAUUAACAUCAAAUCAAGAUCGAAGGAUGAUUGAAGGGCCAAAUCCAUCAAGAACUCCAAGAUCUUCAAGUCAAAGUUUGUCAAAGUUUAGCGUUCGAUCCAAGACUCAAGUCACAAGACCCUCGGGAAACGUUAUUCAAAUUCAAAAUCAAAUCCGGAGAAGAUCAUGUCAACGACCCGACUCCGAAUUUUAAAAUUUAAAUAUAUAUUGUUCAUGAGAGAAGAAUCAGAUGAUUAAAUUAGAGUUUGUAACCCGCAAUAUUUAUUUUUAAUUCAAACAAUUAUCUUUGUGCAAGUUUUUCUUAUUUGUUUAAAUCGCAGAUAAGAAUUUGUUGCUACAGUUGCAGUAGGAUGAGCCGGAAGAGCAACGUAGGUCACUGGCUCACGAUCUAGAUGUUCUUGAGACUUCUACGAACAGAGUACACGUAAACAAAGUCAGGGGUUGAUCCGGUGGAAAACCCUCCGACGCUCAAGUUAGACGUGCGGAUAAUAGAAAUAGUUGAGAGAAUAUGAGCAGUUGAAUUGCUUGGAUAAUAGAACGUACCUUAACCAAUGAAUUAAAUCCUUAUGUAUACCUCAUUGAUUGUGCUGGAGUUAAUUUGUCGGGUCCAAACCUUAUUUGAAGGUGAUUGGGCCUUCGUAGUAGUGGUCUUAUAAAUUGGGCUCGUGGCCCAGUAGGUAAAAAAAUUGUAGGCCCAUUGGGCUGUCCCAAUUAGGCAUAUCAUUAAGCCCCCCACUCUCGAGUCGAUGUGGGAGCCAAGUCAAAAGGGGUUCCAGAUCGUGUCGAGAGUAAAAAUUGUAGUAUUCUCGCGUUAGAGCGUUGCCUUUGGGCAUGGAGGUUGGGUUGGGAACCACGCGUGGCGGCGGAAAGGCGCGAUGUGGCGUUCCGGCGCGCGCCUCCUCAACGGAGGUCGGGCAACGGCGGCUUGGGGCGCGACCGAGAGCGGACGUACGGGGCGGGUGUGCGACGGGGAGCGAACAUGCGGGGCAGGCGCGCGGCGGGGGUGGGUGCGCGACGCGCCUGACUAGGUGUGUGAGCGCGCUUCGAGGUUGGUCGGUGGCGGUGAUGGCGCGUUGGCCCAAGUCGCGCGAAGGCUCGUUGGUGCGUGGGCCGGAAGGGCGCGAAAGCGCGUUGGCGCAUGGGUCGGAUGGGCGCGACCAUGGGGCGGUGCGUGCGAUGCGGAUACCGAGAUAACGAAUGAUGCUGAGGCAGAUGACGACACUGCGGUAGCGACUUCGGCUCAUAAUAUGAGUGCCAAGUGUAGUAUAUGUAUUUGAUAGGAUAUGUGCUCCCCUAUAUGUGGGCGUAGUACUUAAUUUAUCUUCAUACUUGGAGUAGAUGGAUAUGCCCACUACUAUUUCGUUAAAAGUUUAUAUUGUUUGACAUUGUCAUUGGUUUGACGCGUUGCUUGUAUGUGUUUACAUUUAGCAUUGUGCGUGAUAUACUUGAUGAUGGGAUCAAUCUCUCAAGAUUCUUUGAUGGGGGAUCAUGCCCCUUGUUAGACCUCAUGGGCCGUAAGUAUGUUAGGACCGUGGCCAUAUUUUAAAUGAAGGACCCGUUAAAAACAAGUAGAGAGAUUUAGGUAAUCAAGCUGACCAGGCUAUAUAGAUCACCAUAAUGUCGCUAAGUGUUUCUAGGGUUGUAUAAUGUUAACUUGAGCUGAUAAUUGUGUAGUGAAAUAGUAACAAUGUUGAGAGUAAGAAGAAGAACUUGUUUUAUUCGUUGAUUGAAAGUUUGAAUGUUACAAGCCUGCUUGAGGCGAAGGGAAAUAAACAUGUAGGGAUCGAAUCGCUCGAAGUAACAAAAUUUAUACUAAGUAGAAAUUGUAGGUGCUUCUUCCACGUCAUUCUCGCGCUUGUAGGCGCGAGCGGGUUGGCUCCUCGUGGGAGUUGUCUCGCAGUGAGGGGCAUACGAGGGUGGAGGAUGAUCGCCCAAUUGAUGAGGAGAGGUGAGGGGAUGCAUCAUCCUUGGGGUGGGAUAACCCCCAGUUUAGGAUGGUGCGAUCAGUAACUAUGUCAUGGGCUCGAAAGACUCCACGUGUCAUUGACAUCAUUAAAAAUCCAGGGACGUGGAAGGAGAUUGUCCCUGAGAUGUCGACGAUUGCCGUCGGUCAUCUCGUCGUCGGGUGUCGAAGUGAUCAUCAAUACUUUCCCUCUUGGGAAGAGUGAGGACCGAAGCCUCUUCGAUGCGCACGUGUUUCUCACCGCGACAUAAUAACUCUUCCAGAGUGGUUGGAGGUCUUCCCGCGAUAGAUUCCUUGAAUCUACCUUGCUUCAAGUCUUGUUGAAUGAUUCCAGAGAGCAUGCCUGCUCCCAUGUUAGGAACUUCAUGAGCUGCCUCCACAAAUCGUUGAAUGUAGUUUGUUGGUGAUUUUACCUACACACAAGUUCACGUAUCGAAUAAGUAAUAUAGUGGACAAUUAAGCCGAAUAUCAAUCCCACAGAGAAUAUUAAAUUAUCUAGUUCUAAUCACUAAAUUCUACCAAUUGUGAUCAAGUCCACCCUACACAGUCGAGAGAAGAUUGAUUAAACUAAAUUAAACUCUAUUCAAAAGGCAAGUUCAAGAAAACAAUUAAACACGAAGAUUUUUCGGAGUAAACAAGCCUAGGAUUUUAUUCUUCUCCUAUGUGAUUACUAAUUCCCCAAUUUCUUCAAUUAUGCAAGUUAUUAAAUCGGAUUACUAACCUGAGAUGCUAAAUUAAUCAUAACCUGCUUCCGCGUGUAUUACGAUUCUAAUAUUAUAGAUUGAAUUACUGUAUUCCUACGCAAUUAAAUGUAGAACACAACAUGAAGCACAAAUCUCAAUAAUGGCUACAUAAGAGAUUAACUAUAUUCCUAUGUUAGUCCAACAAAGGCUCUUCUACCCAAGUUCUAAUUAUUAAACUGAUCUUCCGAUUCAUGCGUUUACCAAUAACACAAAAACACAUAAAGUGGCCAGUUUCAUGCACUUAAUAAAACAAGUAAACGAAAUAAUCCGGAAUUAAAACUUGCAUAAAAUCAUAGAAAAGGGUUCAUAAAUCCCACAUAAGGUUCAAAAUAAAAUUUUAGAAAUAAAGAGUUUAGCUGCUCAUGAUUAAAUUAAAAUCUAAAUAAAAAGAAUUCAUGGAAGAUAAAAACUAUGCUUGAAGUCUUCAAAUUCUUCAUCUUCGUUAUUGCUCUUUUGCUCUCGCAAUUAUUUUGCUCUCGAAAUUGCGUAAAAAGAUGACUCCUAGCUUUGUGCUUGACAUGGCCUUUUAUAAGGUAUGAAAAGUUAGGGAAUAUGCAGUUUCCUUGUAUAAUUGGAAAUUCCUUACUAGCGCAGUUUCGCCUGCUCGGACGGCUGUCUGGAGAUUUGUUCUCCAUUUCGAACGGUCGUCUGAAAUGCCGUGGUUUAUUUUUCUCUUUCUUGCUUCAGACGGCCGUCUGGAUUCCUAGUGUAUUACUCGGACGACCGUCCGAGAUCUUGACCUGUCCAGUGGCGUUGACUUCUCCAAUUUUUGUCCAUCUUUUCUUUUAAAUUGCUGUUUGGAUCCUCAAUUUAUUCAAUUCUUCAAUUUGUGCCUGAAGCACAAUAAAUCAAAACUUUAAGCACUAAUUAUCAAUAAAAUACACCAAAAGCUCCAAUUAAAAGAUAUGAUUAAAUGUAAAAAAUACACUUAACAUAGUUGCGGAUGUUGGGAAUCGGACACGUGUACGUAGCGGAAAACAAAAAUUUAAUGCGAUUUAAACAACUUUAAACACACAUAAACACAUGCCCGAUAAUUGAAACAAUUAAUUGCGUACCUUUGCGGUUCCAGCGAAAUUCAAAAACAACAUUCAUGCUUAAUCAUUUAACUGAAUUUAAAUCAAUUAGCAUGUUCGCGUUUAAAUAAAAUAACAUGCUCGUAACAUAUUAAUCAAUUUCAUGUAUCCAUAUAAAAUCAUACAAGAACGAACAUACAUAUUUAAUUUAAACAUAAUCGAAUUCAUCGAUAAUUGAUUCGAAGGUUUACCUCUUGAAGCGUGAGGUAGGAGCGCUAAGCAAGACGAGAUUGCUACGGAAACCAAUCCGUACAAUCCGGGGCAGCAGCACUGGAGCGGCAGCAGCGGCGAGACGGCCACGGCGGCGCGUGUAACUCACGCGCGGUCUUCGGGCGGCGCGUGGGGAUGCGUGCGGCUUCGGCUCGUGUGCUGCUCCUCGAUUCUUCGAUCUCCGAUCUUCCUCCCUCAGAUUUCACCUCGUAUACUUUGAUCUACUAAACACGUGGCACUAGACACGUAAUAGUUAGAAAUAACGGAAGAAAAGAAAGAAGGAAAGAACUACCGAAAGGGAUCGGCCAAUGGAUGGCCGAUUCCGGCAAGACGGCGGCGGCGGUGGUGGCCGCGGGAAAGAGUGGCCGAGAGAGAGAGGGACGGCUAGGGUUAGGGUUAGGUCUUGUGUGAUUGUGCAAGACCUAUAAAUCAUGUAUUUAUAGUGUCUUGCAUAAAACCCUAACGGGCUUAAGUUGGACCGGGACCAACAGCUUAAGUUCGUUAGUUCUUUUACUUGCUCGUCUCUCUCAAUUCAAUGAUCGGAAAAUUGUAAUGAUUAUAUUUUCGGAAUCAUUAUAAUGUCCUCGUCAUUAUGAGUGCCAUCUCUCGAUUUCCAACUUUCCAAAAGUGGAAACCCUAAUUCAGUGCGCUUUCUAAAUUUGGAAACUUCCCGAUUUAGAAAGUUCACUAAUACGUUUGCCUAUUCUUCUUCUUUUCUUAUUCUCAUUCAUAAUUCCAAAUUAUGAAUGUUGGACCCAAUCAUAUUGACUUCCAAUCAUGCAAAGAUAAAUCAUUUUUCUCUGACCGUUUAUUCAAAGAUCUCAUGUGCACGAGCAGUGUGACCCUCGAUGGUUCAGGUGUAAGCUAGCCGUGGGCCCACAACCCUUUGUGGUCAAAACUCGUCCCUUAGAGUUACGAUUAAGAUGAAGCUCGUUUCACCUUAAUCACCCAACGAAUCAAGAUUGGCGUCUAGCAACUACGCGUCAUGAUUCCCUAGAUACAAAUGAAGUGCCUGCAAGAACCUUCAGAUAUAGUUAACGUAUAGUACGGUCCCUUCGAUUCAUAUGUUCCGAUUGAACUAGAGGCAUUGGUUCGUCGAGACCUCUUUAUAUGUUCAAUGACGGUGCGAUCGUUCUAAGUGUUGUAAUCGUCACGUGCAUGACUUAGAGAAUCGAAUUCUCUAAUCAUCACUUAGUCAGCUCUGGCCAGAGACUUAGAAUGAUUACAAACUUUCAGAACACACAGGACAUCCAAGACUAUUCUAGCAAUCGAAUCCCCGACUACAAUGCACAUACCUCCCACUAGAUUUCGGAUUGCACGAACACUGGCCCUUGGGAUGUUCCUCGGUGGAACUCAGGGACAGGUCACGAUACAGCUGGUCCUCUAGUGAAGUCACGGUGAUGUCUAGGUCAUAAGGACUAAUGGUGUACAACUAUACCAUAGAUAUCUCUACUCGAUUAUUGGGAACCACUUAGAGAUUUCUAGGGUGAGGGAGUUCAGUGAACUCGUCAACUUACGAGCACCCACUUAUGCAUGCCGAUAUCACAAUACCGUUUACUGAUGAGAUGCAGUACACAUACACUAAGUGCUAGUCUCUUAAUGGGAAGGCUGAUAUCCUCAUUGGUGGCGUAACCCUUCGACUAGGAACACGUUUAACAGUUAUAAUACUUAAGUAAAUAUCUCACGAUCCUAACGAUCAAUAUCUUUGAGUCCAUCACUUGUAUUAAUGAUUGUUGUCUUCUUAUACUUCUUUAAGCUUUUAUACUUACGACCUACCUAGGACUAAGGAUCUUAAUUGGAUUGCCUUCCUUGUUUGUGCUUAUGAUCAUUAAAUUUCGAAAAAGGCAUUUGUCAUUGUUUAGUACAAUAGAAGCGUUCCUGCAAAGUAACACAAGUCUCACAACAAUUCGAUAUUCCUACUCAGGCAUAAGAAAAAUGACAAGAGGUUUUCGUGAAAAACUAGGCGAAGGGGGUUAUGGUUCGGUUUACAAAGGGAAACUUUGAAGCGGCCAUGAUGUAGCCGUCAAACUACUCAACAAGACUAGAGCAAAUGGGCAAGAAUUCAUCAAUGAAGUUGCGACGAUUGGAAGGAUCCAUCAUGUAAAUGUGGUUAAACUUGUUGGAUAUUGUGCAGAAAGAUCCAAACGCGCCCUUGUCUACGACUUCAUGCCUAACGGCUCCCUCGAGAAGUACUUAUUUAGUAAAGAGACGAGUAAUUGGCUUAUCUUGGCGAGGAAGUUUGAGAUUGCAGUUGGAGUUGCUCGUGGAAUUGAAUAUUUGCACAUAGGAUGUAACAUCCAAAUCCUACAUUUCGACAUAAAGCCUCACAACAUACUUCUAGAUGAUAAUUUCACACCCACAAUCUCCGAUUUUGGACUCGCAAAGUCUUAUUCAACGGAGAGUACAACGGUGACUCUCACUGCAGUUAGGGGAACAAUAGGGUAUGUGGCUCCUGAACUGAUGAAUAGAAGCAUUGGCCGUGUUUCCUACAAGGCCGAUGUUUAUAGCUUUGGAAUGUUAUUGAUGGAAAUGUUAGGGCUAAAUAGAGGUACGAGGCAUAAUGACAACAAAUCUAGCCAAUAUUUCCCAUAUUGGAUUUAUGAUCACUUGAAUGAAGGCAACGACAUCGAAAUUGGAAAUGCCGAUAAAAAUGAUUGUGACAAUGAUGACGAUGACGACGGCAAUGCAAGAAAAAUAAGAAGAAAGAUGACAAUAGUUGGAUCGUGGUGCAUACAAAUGAGCCCAACUGAUCGCCCGUCAAUGAAUACUUCAAUGAUCGAAAUUGGGACACAGAGUCAACUGGUUCCAUGGCCUUGUUGUGUAAUGAUUCUUUAACUGAUCAAUGAGAGUGGUAAGUAAGAAUUAUAAAUUAGUACGUUGUGCAAUGAAUUGGCAUUUGGUAAGACUAGUGGGAUAAUAUCAAUAGUGCUUUUGAAUUGUUCUUAAACAUUUUAUUUGAUGUUAUGAAGUACUACUUGUUGAAUGACCAUCUCAACAAAAAGUUUAACCGAUUAGUGAAAUGUAUUAUUUAAUAUUAAUAUCUCCAAUACACCCCUCAAGUGCAGAUGAAUUACAUUUGAAGCCUUGCACUUGAAAUAUUGGAAAUGGGUGGCAGUAGUAUUCGAACUCAGGACCUUUCAUUUGACUUGACUUUGAUGCCAUAUCGAAUGACCAUCUCAACAAAAAACUGAAUACAUUAGUGAAAUAUAUUAUUUAAUAUUAAUAUGUCCAAUACUACUGUUCUUUUCUGAUAAUUAUUGUAGGAUCAUAUGAAUAUGUAUGCAUUGUCAUCUUCCAACAAUUCAUUAUGGCCAACACAUAUGUAAAAACUUGCCUGAUAGGUUCUAAAAGGCAAUAUCUUUGGUCAAAAUGCAGAGUAGCCAAAUAUGAAAUUUAUUUCUCUAAAAUAAAACAAAAAAAAAAUUAUAUGGGAUUUAUUGCUCUAUCUUCUUAUGUGUUUACUCUAAUUGUUAUAAAAAAAAAGGGAAAGUACACUUUGCACCCUUGAACUAUGUGUGUUGUCACAAACACCCCCUUGAACUACAAAACGUAACAAAAUGGCCCCUCCGUUUCAAAUCCGUUUGUGUAUGAUGACGUGGUGAGUUGACUUUGUCCUUUUUUUAAUUAUUUUUGUAGCUGCAACAUAUUUUGACCUUCUUACCCUCAAUAUGCUACAUAUGUAUCUCUCUCUCGAUAUACUGUAUGCAUACACGUUCUUGUAUGAACGCACAUGUUCUUAUAAUAAAUAUUUAUAAAUAUACAUAAUUUAAUUACAAAUUAAAUUAAUUAUAUAAUUCAUAUUUUACCAAUAAAUACACUAAAUUAAACCAACACACAAAAUUCAAAAAAUUGUAAAACUUUGCCUCCAAGUACCCCAGAUCAAUUAAUCAAUAUUUCUAUUCUCUCUCUUGCGAACUUUGAUACGCGAUAUUUAUGUUGGUGUUGGAUCUCAUCAGAAAAUAAUUACAGAAAUCAGCGCUAUUUGUUAGCCACUCGUCGAUGGUGGUUAUCGACGGAGACAACCAACGCCGGAAUUUCGUCGGCGAUUUGAGAAGGUAAGAAAAGGCGUGGGACAUGAUUGUGUGAGCGCUGCCUAGGAGGAAUCCUCCCAUACGCUGUGAUAGUAAACCACGAGGGGCAGUUUGGAUGCCGGAGCGGGGAAAAAUUUCGGCGAGGGGAGAUACAAGGAUGAAUACUCCCCUAUGAUAGUAAACGACGAGGGGCAGUUUGGAUGCGGGAGCAGGGAAAAAUUCCAGCGAGGGCAGAUACGAGGAUGAAUUAUUAAAAUACUAUCUUCUCUAUCUCUCUUUGUGUUAAGUAUUGAGCCCAAUAAAAAUGAUUUGUUGUGAUCUGGGCCUAUAGCUUAAUAAUUCAAAGCCUAACUUGUGAAAUCGGGCCCAAUAUUACGUAAGCCCACUGAUCCAGUCAAACUAAGAUCUGAACCGUUGAUGCUAGGGCUUCAAUCUGAGCCCUCCAUUUGCCUCAUUCUUCUUACAUUUCUCAACCCUAAGCAGCAUUCUUUUGUUGCGUCGUUUCUCUCUCUUCCCUUGUCCCCUUCUCUCUUUACAGUGUUUCGUCACCCCUUGUCGUUUUCCGGCGACACCGUCGCAGGUCUGGCCGGACAAUGGGUGUCCUUGCCGUCGCAGCACAUUUAAUGCUGAAAACCGUUGAAACUCCGUUUAUUUAUACUGUGGUGAGAGAGAGAGAGACAAGUGUGAUUCACCUUUGAUUCAAACCGUACCUUUUCUGCCCUUAAUCCUCUUCUGUGAGGGUUUCGGUGUUGUGUGUGCAGAAAUAUGGGUUUGUGCUGAGUGGAGAGGGUGAGUUAUCACCGAGUUGACUGUGCAUGUGGCUGUGAGUCAACUUGGAGUGAGGUUUGGGGGUCAGAUCUAGGGUUCCGAAGAGUGGGUGUAGCUUGGUGCUUUUUUUCAGUUGGUGUUACCACCAGACCUUGGAUCUACUUGAUGAACACUGGAAAAGGGAACUGAGCCGUUCUUAUUCAAUAUCAAUUUUAUUUCUCAUUUCAGUUGUUUUAAUUGUUUUCUCGGAUCCAUGGCUGUUUUGGAAAGAACAUGUACCUAACAGUGGUACCAGAGCAUCAGUUGGGCAUUUGUUCUUUGCAGACUCGUGCUACGGAUAUCACUACUGUGACUCACUCACUCUGUUCUGGGUAAAAUUCUGGAAAACUUGUGCUUGACCUUGUGUGGUCAGAGCUUACUUCCGCUGUUCUCUGAAAUCUGGACCAACUCAGGUUAUUCGCCACUCCAAACUUCCCUUGUCCGGACCACUUAGUGUCGCAGGAAUCUGGGGAAGGGGGGUAGUCUGAGACAGCCCUGCCUACGACCGGUUACUUUGGUGCCUUCUGGGCCAACUCAGGCUAUUCGCCACUCCAAACUUCCCUUGUCCGGACCGCUUAGUGUCGAAGGAAUCUGGGGAAGGGGGGUAGUCUGAGACUGGUUACUUAGUUGCCUUCUGCAACGCGUGGCUCUCUGUUGGGCCUCCUGGGAUCAUCUUGUGUGUUUCUUCCUUUUUCUUACUUCUGUUGCUGUCUGUGUGCAGCUCUGUGUGGCUUUUAUUUUCUGUUGCUGUCUGUGUGCAGCUUGUGUGCUAGUGUGCCUCUUACGUGAGUCUGUGCCCUUGUUUUUUCUUUUCUUUUCUGUGUGAAAAUGAAUUCUUAUCCUGUGGCUUCUUUUGAUGAUAAGGGUGAUUUUGCUAUAUGGAAACAGAAAAUGAAAGGUGUUUUAGUGCAACAGAAAUGUUUUAAGGCCAUAACUCAAACUUAUGAUGAUAAAACCACUAAGGAAAUGAAAGAUGAUCUUGAUGAACUUGCUUAUUCUCUGAUUAUUCUGAACUUAUUUGACUCUGUGAUUAGAAAGAUAGGUAAACUUGAUACUGCUAAUGAAUUAUGGGAUAAGUUAGAAGAUCUUUAUACUGAAACCUCUUUACCCUCAAAAAAUGUUUUUACUGGAAAAGUUUUUUAGAUUUAAACUUGACUUGCACAAAGAUAUAGAUGAAAAUCUUGAUGUUUUUGCAAAACUUGUGCAAGACAUAAAGUUAACUGGGGAUAAAAAUAUUGAUGAAUAUACCCCCAUUGUUCUUCUAAAUGCUAUUCCUGAUUCUUACAUUGAUGUAAAAUCUGCAAUUAAGUAUGGCAGAGACAAAGUGACUCUGGACACUGUGAUAAAUGGUUUGAAAAGUAAGGAACUUGAUUUGAAAACUACCAAAAGCAACAAAUCUUAUUAGGGUGAUGUAAAAUUUGUGAAAAACAAGCCAAAAACAAGUUUCAAACAAGGCUUCUUCCUCCAGUAACCAAAAUUUUCAAAAACCUGAUAAGGGUAAAGUAGGGAGUAAGAAUAAACUCAAACAUAGGAAGUGUUACAACUCUGGUAAGUCUGGUCAUUAUGCCAAUAGGUGUUCUGAACCUAAGAAAGAUAACAAGUCUAAUAAUGAACAGGCUAACCAAGUUGCUGAAAACAUGGGUGAUGUGUUUAUGAUUACUGAUGAGUAUCUUGAUUUUGUGACUUCUGUGUCUGCAUCUUUGACUGAUAAUGACUGGUUAAUGGAUUUUGCUUGCUCAAAUCAUAUGACACCCCACAGAAGCAUGUUCUCUUCUUAUGUUGAAUUAAAAAAUGGCUUUGUGUCCAUGGCUGAUAGUAGUAAAAGACAUGUGCUAGGUAUAGGAACUGUAUGUCUGAAAUUUCAAUCUGGUUUUGUGCUUAAAUUGAAAAAUGUGAGACAUGUUCCUAAACUUAGUAGCAAUUUGAUGUCUUGUGCUAUCUUGGAGGAUUCUGGAUAUAAGGGUACUUGGGGUGAUGGGGUUAUGAAUAUUAUGCAUGAUGGUUUACUUUCUUUUAAGGCUCUUAGAAUGCAUAAUAUGUAUGUUGCAUCUGCAUUAUCUGUUUCACAUGUUAACUCUGUCCAGCAUGACAUGACUGAUCUUUGGCAUAGAAGAUUAGGUCAUAUCAGUAGUAAGGGACUAGGAAUUUUGCAUAAAAACAACUAUCUGAGUGAUGACAUUGUUGUUGAUAUGCCUUUGUGUGAUUCAUGUGUUAUAGGUAAACAGUCUAAAGUGAAAUUCCCUAAAUCCCCUUUCCCUAAUACUUCUAAGUGCACAGAAACCCUUGAAUAUGUUCAUGCAGAUGUUUGGGGUCCUGCACCUGUCUCCUCACCUGGUGGAAACAGAUAUUUCUUGUCUGUUGUUGAUGAUUAUUCAAGAAAAGUGUUUGUUUUCUUACUUGUGCAAAAGUCUGAUGUUUUUGAUAAGUUCAAAUCUUGGAAAACCUUUAUUGAAAAUCAAACAAACAAGAAACUUAGAAGCCUUAGAACUGCUAAUGACACUGAAUUUUGCAAUCAUGAAUUUGAUUCUUUGUGUGCUGAGUUUGGCAUUAGAAGACAUAGGACUGUUGCUUAUACCCCUCAACAGAAUGGCAUAGCUGAAAGAAUGAAUAGGACAUUAAUGGAUAGAGUUAGAUCCAUGUUGCAUGCAUCUGGUUUGCCUAAAGUUUUUUGGGGUGAAGCUGUCUUAACAGCUGCUUAUGUGAUUAACAGAUCUCCAUCUGUGCCUUUGUCUGGAAAUUUGCCUGAAACUAUGUGGACUGGGAAACCAGCUGAUUUGUCUAAUUUGAGAGUUUUUGGUUGUUCUGCUUUUGUUCACCAUAAAACUGAUAAAUUAGAACCUAGUUCCUUAAAAUGUGUUUUUAUUGGAUAUCCUGAAGGGGUAAAAUGAUAUAGAUGUUGGCUAAAGAAUGAACAUGGUUUUAAAACAAUCAUUAGUAGAAAUGUUGUUUUCAAUGAGAAUGAAUAUCCUUGUUUGCCUGUGCCUUCAUUUAUUGUUCCCCCCUUUGCUCCAAUUGAGGUGGAAAAAUCUCCUCUUGGAAAUGAGGAAAUUGAGACUGUUGAUGAUGAUGAUUCAUCCUCUGUGCCUGAAAAUGUGUUUGAUCAAAAUGUUGAGUCUGAUUUACCUGAUAUUGAUGAUUUGCAUGAUUAUCAACUUGCUAGGGAUAGACCAAGAAGAGAAAUUUGGAAACCUCAUCAUCCUGAUAAUUUUCAGCUUGCAUCUUUUGUGUUCAAUGUGUUUGAUGCUUUAGAUGGUAAUGAACCUAAGUGCUACAAAGAUGUUUUAAAAUCUUCAGAAUCUGCUAUGUGGUUAUCUGCUAUGAAAGAGGAAUUAACUCCUUGCAUGUCAAUCAUACUUGGACUCUUGUCCCAAAACCUGCUAAGUGCUCUUUGAUUGAAUGUAAAUGGCUCUUUAAAAUUAAGCAUGAAUCUGAUUCUGUUAGAUAUAAAGCUAGGCUUGUAGCUAAAGGUUUUACACAAAGAGAGGGUAUUGGCUAUACUGAAAAUUUUGCUCAUGUUGUUAAAUUCACCACUAUCAGAAUUUUACUUGCUCUAGUUGCUCAGUUUGAGUGGGAACUUAAGCAAAUGGAUGUUAAAACUGCCUUUCUGCACGGUGAUCUUGAUAAGCAAAUUUUCAUGUCUCAACCUGAAGGCUUUGUUGAUUCUGUUAGUCCUGAUUAUGUAUGUUUGUUAAAGAAAUCUCUUUAUGGCCUUAAGCAGUCUCCCAGGCAGUGGAACAAAAAAUUUGACUCUUGCAUGCUUUCUUUGAAAUUUAAAAGAAGUGAAUAUGAUCCUUGCUUGUAUUUCAAAGAUGAUUGUCAAUUUCCUGUGUUCCUGUUAAUCUAUGUUGAUGACAUGCUUAUUGCUGGCCCCUGUUUAAAGGUUAUUGAUCAUGUGAAGAAGUGCCUAAGUGAAAACUUUGACAUGAAAUUUCUUGGUGAUUCUAAAAGAAUUCUGGGUAUGGACAUAGUUAGGAACAUAAAAGAUUGUUCUUUGUUUCGGAACCAAUUUGCUUAUGUUGAAAAAAUCUUAGACAAAUUUUCCAUGAAAAAUGCCAAGUCUGUAUCUGUGCCUUUAGCUGCUCAUUUCUUGCUAAGUAAGGAACAGUCUCCAAAGACUGAACCUGAAAUGUGUGAUAUGAAAUAUGUUCCUUAUGCUAAUGCAAUUGGUUCUAUGAUGUAUUUAGUGGUCAGUACUAGACCUGACAUUGCAUAUGUUGUAAGCUGUUUGAGUAGAUAUAUGGCUAAUCCUGGCAUGCCUCACUGGGAGGCUGUAAAGUGGUUAAUGAGAUAUCUAAGAGGGUCUGUUAGAACAGGGAUUGAAUUUUCUAAGUGUGAAAAAUGAAUUGUCUUAUGUGGUUAUGUGGAUUCUAAUUAUGCAAACAACAGAGAUAAUAGGAAGUCCACCACAUCUUAUGUGUUUACUUUGUGUGGUUCUUGUAUUUGCUGGAAAUCUCAACUUCAAAAUCUUGUAGCCCUUUCUACCACUAAGGCAGAAUACAUUGCAGCUACUGAGGCUAUAAAAGAAUCUCUCUGGUUGAAAGGGUUGCUCUCAGAAAUUGGCUUCUUGAAAGGUAAAGUUGUAGUUUUCUCUGACAGCCAAUCAGGUAUACAAUUGUGCAAGAACCCUGUUUUCAUGACAGAACAAAACACAUUGAGAUUAAAUACCACUUUAUCCGGAAAGUGGUGGAAAAAUGAGAGAUAGACCUGGAGAAAAUUCCUUCUGAAUUCAACCCUGCUGACAUGGGCACUAAGUGCCUACCUGUGGAAAAAUUGAGAUCAUGUUUGAGAACCUUGAACAUUGUCUCAAAACAUGAUUGAAACAGACAUGUGUAUGUCUGCUUGAUGUGUGCAAGUAUGUUUUUGCUUUCUCUGUGAUAGCUUGUGUUAUUUUAACUUUUCUGUGGUGUUAAAGUUUUGUGUAUCUUGGUGAUUACCUCCUUUGUGGAAAAAAAUACUUUUUUGAAUCUUCUACUACAAUCUGUGUGAUUAGUGUUUAAGAUUCAAAGUUACGACAAUGAUGAUCCCAGUCCAUUAAGUGCGUUCAUAAUAAUCAUUUUAUUGGUCUCAGGUGGAGAAUUGUUAAGUAUUGAGCCCAAUAAAAAUGAUCUGUUGUGAUCUGGGCCUAUAGCUUAAUAAUUCAAAGACCAACUUGUGAAAUCGGGCCCAAUAUUAUGUAAGCCCACUGAUCCAGUCAAACUAAGAUCUGAACCGUUGAUGCUAGGGCUUCAAUCUGAGCCCUCCAUUUGCCUCAUUCUUCUUACCUUUCUCAACCCUAAGCAGCAUUCUUCUGUUGCGCCGUUUCUCUCUCUUCCAUUGUCCCCUUCUCUCUUUACAGUGUUUCGUCACCCCUUGUCGUUUUCCGGUGACACCGUCGCAGGUCUGGCCGGACAAUGGGUGUCCUUGCCGUCGGAGCACAUUUAAUGCUGAAGACCGUUGAAACUCCGUGUAUUUAUACUGUGGUGAGAGAGAGAGACAAGUGUGAUUCACCUUUGAUUCAAACCGUAUCUUUUUUGGCCUUAAUCCUCUUCUGUGAGGGUUUCGGUGUUGUGUGUGCAGAAAUUUGGGUUUGUGCUGAGUGGAGAGGGUGAGUUAUCUCCGAGUUGAUUGUGCAUGUGUUGGUGAGUCAACUUGGAGUGAGGUUUGGGGGUCAGAUCUAGGGUUCCGAACAGUGGUUGUAGCUUGGUGCUUGUUUUCAGUUGGUGUUACCACCAGACCUUGGAUCUACUUGAUGAACACUGGAAAAGGAAACUGGGCCGUUCUUAUUCAAUAUCAAUUUUAUUUCUCGUUUCAGUUGUUUUAAUUGUUUUCUCGGAUCCAUGGCUGUUUUGGAAAGAACCUGUACCUAACACUUUAAUUGUGAGUUUAAAGCUAUUUUCUUGUAUGGUGUAUAGUUUCAAAAUAUACUAUUUCGAAAAGAAAAACAGUAGAACAAAAUCAUAGACCCAUGCUUUCCCCUCUUCUUAAUCUUCAUCUCCUUCUUUUGGAUCUCCCUAGCUAAGCCGGAGCCAUGCAACACCACCACUUCCGCCGCCAGAGGCGCACUAGUAGAAAAAUGGUUUUUUUACUUCACCAUUAACAGUAGCAAAAUGUAUCAAAGUCGUAGUAAAAAGGCUUUUGCUACACAUUCGCUACGAAUUUGUCCCGUUGCAUAUACGGACAUGACAAAAACUUUGCUACGGUAAAUCGUACCAAAUACUUUUUUGCUACGGUAAAUCCUAGUAUUUACUACGACUUCAAAAAUUUAGUCCCGUAAUAAAAAAAACAUUUUGUUACGGUCUUUUACUGUAGCAAAAACUUUCGUAGUAAAAAGCAAAUUUUCUAUUAUAGUUUCGGCUCCACCCUUGAAGUCCGGCACUUGGCCGACUCCCAUAAUGGAAGCAACGAUUGUAACAAUAGUCAUUUAUAUUGCACACAGAGAGCAAGAUUGCCUUUUGUGUUGAUCCCAAAAAAGAAGAAAAGGACGAAGUAGUGAAUGGAGUUCAGAUUUCACCACAAUUGUUUUCAACAUUAUUAGCGUAUAUAUUAUAUAUAUUACGUAUAUUAUUAUUAUUCUAAAAAAAGCCCCCUUGUAAAAAAGGUUCCUUUGGGAAGGGGGUUGGGGUUUUUUCCAGGGAACUAUAUAUAGGAUUCCUAUCCGGGGGGGAUUUUUUUUUUUUUUUUCCCCAAAUUUUUUUCUCCUAUAGGAUUCCAGCCCCUGGGUUAACCUGGCGGUCCCCCCCCUUUUUUUUCAAUAGGGGUGGCCCCCCCCCCCCCCCCCUCUUCUCCCUCCACCGCCCCUCUCAAUCCUUUUCACCUUGCUCAUGCCAUCUCUAAUAUCAAAUUUCUUAUCCUCGUUAUUCUAGAUCUGAAAAAUCCCAAUGAUCAAAAGUGGAGCCACUUUUUCACAAUUACCGUCGGUCGUUUCUGCCUCUUCGAUCUUCUACAUGGAAAACCCCGACCGGAUUCGAUUUCCGCCGAUGAAUGACAGCGCGCCAACUAUCUCCUCCAAUCUUGGAUCUACGGCACCAUCUCCGAUGAUCUGUCCAGCGUGGUUCUCUCAAAAACCUCCACCGCCAGUGAUCUAUGGACCGCCAUGUCUUCUCUCUUCACCGAUAACAAAGAUUAUCGAGCCAUUGAACUUGAAGAAAAAUUCAAGUCCCUCAAGAAAGGCACUCUCUCCAUUCACGAUUAUUGCCAAAUAAUCAAAACCACGGCGGGCAAAUUGGCCGAUGUCGGAAAUCCAAUCUCCGACAAACAACUCGUCCUACAAACCCUACACGGCCUUCCGAAAAAUUAUGGGACCGUCGCCAACCUCAUCUCCUUUAAGAAUCCCCUUCCCACCUUUCUACAGACUCGAUCGCUUCUUCAGAUGGAAGAAACAAGAAUUGCUGAACUGGAGCAGACCGCUGUUGUUUUCUACGCCUCCAACGCGAACUGUCCAUCCCACAGUUGCAACGGUUCCUGCAAUAGUUCCCGCGGAGGUAGUUCUUCGCGCUAUCAGCGCGGGGGUGGCCGAUCCAACCAUUGCGGAGGUCACAGCACUAACCGUCACCCCAUGCAACACUACGGCUACCAGAGUGCUCAUGGUGCAUCUCAACUCUGGCGCGCACCUUACUGAAAACCAUCAAUUCUGGGAUCAGCUCCGUGUUGCUCCUCCCUCAGACUUCGUCUAACUGUUGCAUCAGUUCCCCCAACUGUUCCAACAGUGAACCACCUUGUUCCAACAGUUCGUCCAACAGUCCUAUAACACAGCCAACACCUGUUUCACCUGCAACACCACCUCUCAACCACGACCAGCUCACAACCUCUUCUCCUACGUCCACAUCUCCUUCUCCUACUCCCACACCUCCCUCACCCCCCCUGCUCACCCUAUGGUGACUCACAGUAAAGUGGGAAUCCACAAACCCAAAGUCCCUUUCUCGCUCGUUGCGUCAUCUACCUCUUCCAUUCCCACCAACUAUCGCAAAGCUCUUCUUGACCAAAAUUGGCGAAACGCCAUGAUUGAAGAAUAUACUGCUUUAAUUAAAAACAAUACUUAAUUAAAAACAAGUCUGAUGGCUCCCUUGAGCGAUACAAAGCACGGUGGGUUGUUCGUGGGUUUCACCAGCAGGCUGGCAUCGAUUUUGACGAGACUUUUAGCCCACUUGUCAAACCAUCCACUGUUUGAUCAAUUCUUAGUAUUGCUCUCUCACGAUCAUGGCCAAUCCACCAGCUUGAUGUGCAAAAUGCCUUCUUACAUGGCAAUCUCUCUGAAACUGUCUACUGCGAGCAACCUCCCGGAUUCGUCGAUCCAUCUCGCCCCACUCACAUGUGUCGUCUCAACAAAGCACUCUACGGUCUCAAGCAGGCACCACGUGCUUGGUACAAGAGUUUUGCAUUUCACAUUACUACCGUGGGGUUCAGAGAAUGCAAGUCCGACACUUCACUCUUUGUGUACUUUCGCAACAGUUCACCCGACUGUCGCAACAGUGCACGCGACUGUCGCAACAGUGCACGCGACUGUCGCAACAGUUCAUGCGCCUACCUUCUGCUGUAUGUCGAUGACAUUGUACUUACGGCCUCUACACCUGAAUUGUUCCGCUCUAUCAUCGCUUCCCUUAAUCAAGAGUUCCCAAUGAAGGAUCUCGGCGAUCUUCACUACUUUCUCGGCAUCUCAGUUACUCGCUCGUCAAAUGGGCUAUUUCUCUCUCAACGCAAGUACGCCGACGAGAUACUAGAGCGUGCACACAUGGCUUCUUGCAGCCCUUGUCUUACGCCGGCUGACACAAAGAGCAAGUUGUCUUCGACCACUGGACCCCUCGUUGCUGAUCCUACUCUUUAUCGCAGCCUUGCCGGUGCACUGCAAUACCUCACGUUUACUCGUCCCAACAUCUGCUAUGCUGUGCAACAAAUAUGUCUAUUCAUGCAUGAUCCGAGGGAACCUCAUAUGGCUGCUCUCAAGCAUAUCCUUCGCUACAUUCGUGGCACUCUCGAUCACGGCCUUCAGCUCUCCCCCAAUCUGGACCUCUCCGUUAUCACUUACUCCGACGCCGAUUGGGGUGGCUGCCCUGACACUCGUCGUUCGACAUCGGGCUAUUGUGUUUUCCUCGGAAACAACCUCAUCUCUUGGUCCUCCAAACGACAGGUCACUACUUAUCGAUCGAGUGCUGAGGCCGAAUAUCGAGCUGUCGCAAAUGCCGUCGCCGAAACGACUUGGUUACGCAACCUACUUUCUGAGUUUCUCUGCCCACUUUCGAAAGCCUCUAUUGUCUACUGUGACAACGUCAGUGCCGUCUACCUAUCCAACAAUCCUAUUCAACACUCUCGUACGAAACAUGUGGAGAUCGAUAUCCACUUUGUCCGAGACAAAGUUGCUUUGGGACACGUUCGAGUUCUUCACGUCCCAUCCGCCUACCAGUUUGCCGAUAUGUUCACGAAAGGACUCCCUACUCAACUGUUCCAACAGUUUGUCUCUAGUCUCCACGUCCUCUCUUUUCCCGUUUCGGCUGCGGGGGUGUAUUAGCGUAUAUAUUAUAUAUAUUACGUAUAUUAUUAUUAUUCUUGUUUAUUAUAGUUACCUUGUAUAAUAGGUUACCUUAUGUAGUAGGUUAGGGUUUUCUACAUGUAACUAUAUGUAUGAUUAAUAUACGUGAGAGAUAUUAUUCUCUCUUUUCUCCAAAUCUAUUUCUCCUAUAAAACAUAAGCAAAUUCGGGGAAUGGAUGCCUUCAUCAAGAAUCUCUCUCUCUCUCUACUUCAAUGAAGACGUCUUCAAUAAUAAAUUUCAAUUGUGAUGGCUAAGUGGCCCUGGAGCCAAAUAAUUUAAGGAAGCAACACAUUUGUGAUAUCUUUAUUGUCUGUAGUCAAGAAAAUAAUAAACAUUUGUGAUGGUUGGGAAAUGAUAAAUAAUAGAGAAAAAAUGUGGUUUAUGGUUGCCUAAAAAUGGAUGGAGCACAGUGACUCACUGUUGAACCCUUAAUUUCCAUCCAAAUAAUUUUCCCGGCGAAAUUUUCAAUCGGAAAGUGCUAUAGGAUGCAUUUUGCCAAGCUAAUUAUAAUAGGAGGAUGUAAAAUGCAAAAUUUACAAUUUAAGGGUGGGAUGUGCCAAAUGGGUCUAUUUGAAGGGUGCAAAGUGCCAAUUAUCCGUUUUGGGCUUUGUUUUCUUGGUUCUCGAACUAUUUUAUACAUUUCUUAAUUUCUUUUCCAAUUCAUGUUUUUCAUUUUCUUUUGGCAAAGCUUGUUGGGAAAAACAAAUUUUGUUCAACCCGCCACAUCAGCAAAAACAAACGGAAUGGCAAAUGGAGGGACCAUUUUGUUACGUUUUGUAGUAUAACGGGUGUUUGUGACAUGCUCCAUAGUUUAGGGGUGCAAACUGUAUUUUUUCUUAAAUUAUAUUUACAAAACAAAAAAUUGAUAAUUUCAUAAAUUGUUUCUUUAAAAUAUUCUAUUACAAUUAAUAUUAUUUAAAAUAUAUUCAAAUGUAAUAUAAAGAUCAAAACAAGAUUUAUUUAAUGGGGCCCAUUUGAUAUACACCUCUCAUAAGCAACUUAUAUAGGGCUAGGUCCACCCCUAAAAUUCUUUCUUUGAGAUAAUCUCCUGCAGAGGUAAAAGUACUAUUGGGCCCUUACGAUCAAUUUCCACCCAACUGCAUUCAGCAUUUCCACUAACUACAGUCAACAUUUCCAC
rnacentral:lncRNA from 1 species